rnacentral:rRNA from 1 species
AUAGCUCACUGGUCGAGUCGGCCUGCGCGGAAGAUGUAACGGGGCUAAACCAUGCACCGAAGCUGCGGCAGCGACACUAUGUGUUGUUGGGUAGGGGAGCGUUCUGUAAGCCUGCGAAGGUGACCUGUGAGGGUUGCUGGAGGUAUCAGAAGUGCGAAUGCUGACAUAAGUAACGAUAAAGCGGGUGAAAAGCCCGCUCGCCGGAAGACCAAGGGUUCCUGUCCAACGUUAAUCGGGGCAGGGUGAGUCGACCCCUAAGGCGAGGCCGAAAGGCGUAGUCGAUGGGAAACAGGUUAAUAUUCCUGUACUUGGUGUUACUGCGAAGGGGGGACGGAGAAGGCUAUGUUAGCCGGGCGACGGUUGUCCCGGUUUAAGCAUGUAGGCUGGUUGUCCAGGCAAAUCCGGAUAAUCAAGGCUGAGGUGUGAUGACGAGGCACUACGGUGCUGAAGUAACAAAUGCCCUGCUUCCAGGAAAAGCCUCUAAGCAUCAGGUAACAUCAAAUCGUACCCCAAACCGACACAGGUGGUCAGGUAGAGAAUACCAAGGCGCUUGAGAGAACUCGGGUGAAGGAACUAGGCAAAAUGGUGCCGUAACUUCGGGAGAAGGCACGCUGGUGUGUAGGUGAAGUCCCUGCGGAUGGAGCUGAGACCAGUCGAAGAUACCAGCUGGCUGCAACUGUUUAUUAAAAACACAGCACUGUGCAAACACGAAAGUGGACGUAUACGGUGUGACGCCUGCCCGGUGCCGGAAGGUUAAUUGAUGGGGUU